UUCUGCGUAGUUUAGUGGCUAUGACGGGACCUUGUCAUUCGACAAGUCGGUCCAGACCCGGGUUCAAUUCCCGGCGCGGAAG
rfam:Malassezia pachydermatis strain CBS 1879 scaffold3, whole genome shotgun sequence.